rnacentral:lncRNA from 1 species
GAAUUUUUGGCCAUCCGAGUGUGCAAAGCAAGUUCCAGGCCAGCCCAGAGCUGGUAUAAAGAGAAACCCCAUCUGGAACACCUUACAAAAGAAAGAGGGUCUACAAGGAACCUCGAUGGAGAAGACACGUACCUGCCAGGCCCUUGGAAUAAGACUUCAGUUUCCAGUAGUGAACUCGACAAGUUGGGAGAACCUGCUGCUAUCCAGACUAGCCUCCAGGUUUCCAAAGGCCUCAAGAGCCUGCAAGUAACCCAGACGCGACAGUACACCCAGAGACCCAAUGUAAUCACGCCUCCAGGUGCAUCCAGGCCCUACAAGGAACCUAUGUCGCUGGUGCACUCAGUCACACCAAUGCAGCCAAAUAUUGGGAAGCAUCCAGGUCCCCCACAGUGGCUUGAUCUCCAAUCAUUGGGAACCAGUAAAAUGGAAGCAGGUCUUCUUCCAUCCUCAGGUCCUCAUGGGAGCCCGGCUGGCCAUGGUUUCCCAGGUACACCCUGGGUCUAUGCAACAGCUCCAUGGGAUCUCAUGGGCAAAGUUAACAGUUCUCCCAGUGAAUCCUACUGAAUUUCUACUGAAGUAUUCUUGUUCCCAGGUAUGUCAGCACACACUCAC